rnacentral:rRNA from 1 species
AAACUAACAAGGAUUCCCCUAGUAACUGCGAGUGAAGCGGGAAAAGCUCAAAUUUAAAAUCUGGCGGUCUUUGGCCGUCCGAGUUGUAGUCUGGAGAAGUGCUUUCCGCGCUGGACCGUGUAUAAGUCUCUUGGAACAGAGCGUCAUAGAGGGUGAGAAUCCCGUCUUUGACACGGACUACCAGUGCUUUGUGAUGCGCUCUCAAAGAGUCGAGUUGUUUGGGAAUGCAGCUCAAAAUGGGUGGUGAAUUCCAUCUAAAGCUAAAUAUUGGCGAGAGACCGAUAGCGAACAAGUACCGUGAGGGAAAGAUGAAAAGCACUUUGGAAAGAGAGUUAAACAGUACGUGAAAUUGCUGAAAGGGAAACGCUUGAAGUCAGUCGCGUCGUCCGGAACUCAGCCUUGCUUUUGCUUGGUGCACUUUCCGGUUGACGGGCCAGCAUCGAUUUUGACCGUCGGAAAAGGGCUAGGGUAAUGUGGCACCUCCGGGUGUGUUAUAGACUCUAGUCGCAUACGGCGGUUGGGAUCCGAGGAACGCAGCGCGCCGCAAGGCAGGGGUUCGCCCACUUUCGCGCUUAGGAUGCUGGCAUAAUGGCUUUAAACGAC